rnacentral:rRNA from 1 species
UUGCCCUACGGGACGCAGCAGUGGGGAAUAUUGGGCAAUGGACGCAAGUCUGACCCAGCAACGCCGCGUGAAGGAAGAAGGCUUUCGGGUUGUAAACUUCUUUUAAGGGGGAAGAGUAGAAGACGGUACCCCUUGAAUAAGCCACGGCUAACUACGUGCCAGCAGCCGCGGUAAUACGUAGGUGGCAAGCGUUGUCCGGAUUUACUGGGUGUAAAGAGCGUGCAGCCGGAGAGACAAGUCAGAUGUGAAAUCCACGUGCUCAACCCGUGAACUGCAUUUGAAACUGUU